rnacentral:lncRNA from 10 species
UGAGAUGUGAAGCUUCUUAGACAAAGUUGCACAGCUGCUAUGAUAAAGACACAAUCCUGGUCUGACUCAGAGAGAAAGUUCCCUGCUUUCAAGAUCUCAUGUGAAGUUAGGUUGGGAAGGAGAGCAAGCAGUGAUGAGUUCUAUGGAAACUACCUCCCAUGAUCUCCCCACCAGAGCCCAACUCAGCCAUACUCUUGAACUUGGAUCUGGGGCAGUGGCCCUCAAGGGCUAGCUGAACUGGAGUUGAUGACAUUUGAAGAUCUGAGAUGUCAAGGCAGUUAGAGUAAAGAGGCUGCCAGGCGGAGUGGAGCCAUUUAUUCAUUCAUUCAACACGUAUUUAUUGAGCCAGGUCUACUAUGGCCCAGGGACCACCAGAUACUGGAAAACAGGGCAAAAUACACUGAUAAAAAUAAUGACUUUGGUCAUGCAAACUGCAAUUAUGCUGUUAAUAUUAGUGUGGUAGAUUAAAUGUAGCCACAAUUUUUUUGCAAAAAAUAUCAAGAGAUGAGGCAUUUUUCCCUAUCCCUGAGACCAGUCUCACUUUGGGGCUUCCUUUGGCCAAAGCGUGUGGCAGGAGUAAUGCUUCCGGAGUCUAGGCCUCAAGAGUCCUUGUAGCUUCUGUUUUAUUCUCUUGGAACCUGGAGAUCAUACCAUAAAGAAGUCUGAGAUGAAAGACCAUGAAGACAAAGGCCCAGGUGUCCCAGCUGAGCCCAGGCCUCAGAAAACUUGGAGCUGAAUGCAGCCACUUGAGCAAGCUCAGGUUAGAACUAUCUGGCCAGCUCUCAGAAUCAUGACAAAUACAGUCAUACUUUGGAGAUAUUGUGGGUUUGAUUCCAGACCACCACAAUAAAGCAAAUGUCACAAUAAAGUGAGUCGCAGAAAUUUCUUGGUUCCUCAGUGCAUAUAAAAGUUAUUGUUAC